UUCCAGAAUAUAACCUGCCAGAUGUUUUCUUUGUGCCAAUUAAUCCAGCAGUCGAAACUAAAUUACAAGGAAUUAAGCGGAAGAUAGUGAAAUAUUUAGAAGAAAAUCAACACAAUCUCUAUUGUGAUGAAGAAAUGCCGUCAAAUAGUCCGGAAACUG